GGUUUCUGUUUGGCUUUGCAAACCACUUAUGGAGCGAGAAGUGGGGACCACAAAUGGGGACCCCUGAGGAAUGACCCCCUCCCCAGCCCCCUCUCCAGUUGAGUUACCAAAUGAGGCCAAUUCAUUCUCUGGAAUGUAGCAGCCGGGGCAAUGAUGAUUGCUACUGACAGGGAAGCUUUCAUGUAGCAAUAUCCCCGGCCACCGGCUGUGAGGCAAAGAGAAAGAACUCUCUGGAAUUCACAACAUCCCCCCUCCAAUUAAUCCCCAGCCGCCCCGCUGUGUGUGAAUGGGCUGUGCUGGGGAUUCGUAGCUCUGAUGCGGGGGAUUUGCUGAUUCCUUUGAGCCCCCUGAGGAGAGGUGAUAUGGAGAGCAGAUAAUCAGCAUGCAGCGCGGAGACGAGCUCCAGGUUCGUCUCUGGCAAGAACGUGUGUUCAAGGCGUUGUGACCGUCCAACCGUUUGCCUCCCCUACCGUUUCUGGCAGUGAAGAUGGGAUAGUACUGACUGGGUCACUGCUUAUCACUCUCGGGGCUGAAGCUGAGAGAUCCUGGGACAUUUGACAAACGCUGGAAGUUGUUGGAAAAGCAGAGGUCAGAGAUUCAAAGCAUGAGAAGAAUUCAACAUAGCAUCGCUGGCUGGAAGAUGGAGGGAGCCACAAGCUGAAGAAUGUGAGUGACCUCUAGGAGUUAGAGUGAGUCCCAGCCAACAGCCAGCAAGUGCAUGGAGACCUCAGCCCUACAAUCAGAAAGAACUGGAUUCUGCCAGCAACCUUAAUGAACUUGGAAGAAAAUUCUUAUUCAGAGCCUCCAGUUUGGCCAGUGCCUUGAUUCAGCCUUUGAGAUCCCAAGCAGAGGACCUAGCAGACUGAGAAGAAGACACUCAGUUGAUUUGAAGGAAUUCAGACUGUUUAAGUGAAGGAUUUUUGAAGACUGUGGAUCAUCUUGGAUUUUAUGUAUCCCACUGGGUCUAUCUGAAACUGUGACGUAGCCACAAACAACUACCA